rnacentral:rRNA from 1 species
UACGUAGGGGGCUAGCGUUGUCCGGAAUCAUUGGGCGUAAAGAGCGUGUAGGCGGCCCGGUAAGUCCGCUGUGAAAGUCGGGGGCUCAACCCUCGAAUGCCGGUGGAUACUGUCGGGCUAGAGUGCGGAAGAGGCGAGUGGAAUUCCUGGUGUAGCGGUGAAAUGCGCAGAUAUCAGGAGGAACACCGAUUGCGAAGGCAGCUCGCUGGGACGUUACUGACGCUGAGGCACGAAGGCCAGGGGAGCAAACGGG